rnacentral:rRNA from 1 species
GGGCAACCCUGGUGGCGAGUGGCGAACGGGUGAGUAAUACAUCGGAACGUGUCCUGGAGUGGGGGAUAGCCCGGCGAAAGCCGGAUUAAUACCGCAUACGCUCGAGAGAGGAAAGCGGGGGAUCUUCGGACCUCGCGCUCAAGGGGCGGCCGAUGGCGGAUUAGCUAGUUGGUGGGGUAAAGGCCUACCAAGGCGACGAUCCGUAGCUGGUCUGAGAGGACGACCAGCCACACUGGGACUGAGACACGGCCCAGACUCCUACGGGAGGCAGCAGUGGGGAAUUUUGGACAAUGGGGGCAACCCUGAUCCAGCAAUGCCGCGUGUGUGAAGAAGGCCUUCGGGUUGUAGAGCACUUUUGUCCGGAAAGAAAACCUAUGGGUUAAUACCCCGUGGGGAUGACGGUACCGGAAGAAUAAGCACCGGCUAACUACGUGCCAGCAGCCGCGGUAAUACGUAGGGUGCGAGCGUUAAUCGGAAUUACUGGGCGUAAAGCGUGCGCAGGCGGUUCGCUAAGAACGAUGUGAAAUCCCCGGGCUUAACCUG